rnacentral:ncRNA from 1 species
CUGUGUGUGAUAAAUAGGCAGUUUGCUUAACCAUAGGGCUGACACUAAGCCCCAUUGAGCUGUACACCUCCAAUCCUCCAAAACAGCCUCUGCUGUCCACACUAUUGCCGCUUCCGCCUGUGGUCAAAAUGCGUACUGCAACUUCUAAUAGCAUCUUGCAUGGCCAGAGAGUACCUUUUAACAACAAUUAAAUUGUCUGCAUCUGUAGGUAGUUAGUGAGAAGUACAAUUGUCACAGAUUCAUGAUGACUUAACAAAUCGCAUGGCAUUGCGCCGGCAAUGAUUUAUUCAAAUUUCUGCCCUACUAACUUUCGAUGGUAGGAUAGUGGCCUACCAUGGUUUCAACAGGUAACGGGGAAUUAGGGUUCUAUUCCGGAGAAGGAGCCUGAGAAUUGCCUACCAUAUCCAAGGAAGGCAGCAGGUGCGCAAAUUACCCAAUCCCGACAUGGGGAGGUAGUGACAAUAAAUACUGAUGCGGGGCUCUUUUGGGUCUCGCAAUUGGAAUAAAUACAAUUUAAAUCCCUUAACAAGGAACAAUUGGAGGGCAAGUCUGGUGCCAGCAGCCGCGGUAUUCCAGCUCCAAUAGCAUAUAUUAAAGUUGUUGCAGUUAAAAAGCUUGUAGUUGAACCUUGGGCCUGGCUGGCCGGUCUGCCUCACCGCGUGCACUGGUCCGGCUGGGCCUUUUGUUCUGGGGAGCCGCAUGCCCUUCACUGGGUGUGCCAGGGAAUCAGGACUUUUACUUUGAAAAAUUAGAGUGUUCAAAGCAGGCCUAUGCUCGGAUACAUUAGCAUGAAAUAAUCAAAUAGGACGUGGGGUUCUAUUUUGUUGGUUUCCAGGACCGCUGUAAUGAUUAAUAAGGAUGGUUGGGGGCAUCAGUAUUCAAUUGUCAGAGGUGAAAUUUGUGGAUUUAUUGAAGACUAACUAUUGCGAAAGCAUUUGCCAAGGAUGUUUUCAUUAAUCAGGGAACAAAAGUUAAAGGAUCAAAGACGGUCAGAUACCGUUGUAGUCUUAACCAUAAACUAUGCCAACUAGGGAUUGGGCGGUGUUAUCAUUUCGACCCGUUUAGCGCCUUAUGAGAAAUCAAAGUUUUUGGAUUCUG